rnacentral:lncRNA from 1 species
UUGAAAUUCAAUGCUUUUUUAGGGGCAUAAAUAUACAACAGGGAAGAAGAGUCUCCCAGCCACACAUCAUUGUGAAAAACACGGAAGCAUCUUAAGGCGCUGUGUAUGAGUCAUCUCUUCCGAACUUGCUUGUUCUGCCAGUGUGUACUAGAAACACACAGGUUCAGUUUAACAGGAACCAGAGCGCUGGCUGAUGAGGAGCAGGAACAACAGCAGCAACCACAGGCACCACCAGAGAGAACACCAUGGGAAAGACACGGAAAACCAGUACUCUGCUGGUACUGUUUGCUUCUUUCACAUGUGCUCUCCCCAGCCCAUCCUUCCCUCAUGUGUCUUUCUGUCUCUGUAUUUAUCCCUUUCAAGUGUGCGCUGUUAUUUCCCAGGGUUGGAUGGGCUGCUGUUCAUAGUGAAGAUGCCAAUAUCUUGUGAAUAAAAUCCUCCAUGUC